rnacentral:lncRNA from 1 species
AAAACCUGCGUUAUUCGCUACUACAACCAAGCAUAGCAUUCCUUGCAGCAGAAUUUGCCUUAUUACAUGUUACACAAGCAUUAAACUAAAGUUUAAGUUUAAGGGAUAAAGGGAUUGAAUUGAACUCCUUUGUCUCCAUUUCCUGUCCCCAAGACAGUCUUCCUAAUUAAAAACAAACAACCAAUAAGGCAACAAAGAAAACUAUUUCAAACACAGGCGUGUCGUUUUGCUUAUAAUUAAGCUGCCAAAUUUGGAUUUGGUGACAAGCUUGAGGACAUGAAAUGGA